CAGCAGCCGCGGGAAUACGAAGGGUGCAAGCGUUAAUCGGAAUUACUGGGCGUAAAGCGUGCGCAGGCGGUUCGCUAAGACAGAUGUGAAAUCCCCGGGCUUAACCUGGGAACUGCAUUUGUGACUGGCGGGCUAGAGUAUGGCAGAGGGGGGUAGAAUUCCACGUGUAGCAGUGAAAUGCGUAGAGAUGUGGAGGAAUACCGAUGGCGAAGGCAGCCCCCUGGGCCAAUACUGACGCUCAUGCACGAAAGCGUGGGGAGCAAACAGGAUUAGAUACCCCAGUAGUCCCUGUCUCUUAUAC
rnacentral:rRNA from 1 species